UUCCAUGUUACAAGCCUAGACAGGCAGAUAUUGUUGGGGAAGAGUGGUGGAAGAAAGUGCCAGGGAGGAGAAAGAGCUGCAGCCAACCAGAGCCCCCUUCCCAGGCUGUGGCUUCCACAAACUAUAGACCUUUCCAGGAGGAGAGGGGCUGAGACUCAAAAUCAGAUUAUGGCCAAAUCCCAGCUGCCAUCACAAAAAUCUUCUUCGAUGUCAAAAUUCCUGGUAUUUUACAUCAGUGCUUCUUCAGAAAGCUCAUCCCUUUCUGGCCCCCUUGUAAGGAUCUUGGACUCUGGGGAUCUUGGUCUAUUUGAUGAGUACAGUGGUCAAGGAGAGCCAGAUCAGACAGAAGCACCUGCCUGCUACCCACGGGGACAUGAAGUUGUUAACAGCAGCCUGGACUCUGCUGGCUCUAGGACAAAGCAGAACACUCACUUUUGGAACCUGGCCACCAUGUUGGAAGGAAUCCCAGAGCACAUGAGGAGGCCUUUUGGGGGUGUUCCAGCUGACAGCCUUAGCUAAGGUCUUAGCUAAUAGUCAGCAUCAACUGCUGGCAAGUGAACAAGGCUUCAGAUGAUUCCAGCCCUCAGCUUUCCAGCUGAAAACAUUGUAAAGCAAAUACAGCCAUUUCCACUUUGCCCUGUCUGAAUUCCUGACCCACAGAAGCCAUGAGAGAUAACAAAUGAUUACUAGUGCUUUAAGCCACCGGGUUUGGGAAUCAUUUCUUAUGUAUCAAUAGAUUACAGCAAAUGUCAAAAAACUAUAGAUAAAGUUAGGAUGAUAAUUCAGCACAGUUGCUAGAUACAAAAGUCAAUAUUGAAAUCAAUUCUAUUUCUAUAUACUGGCAACAUACAGAAGUCAAAUUUAAAAUUUACAAUAGUAUAAAAAUAUAAUUAUCUAAGAACAAAUAUAACAAAAUCAUAUGAGUCCUUCAAAGAGAUAAUCACAGAACUCAAUUAAAAUAUACUGAAAAAGACCCCAAAAAGGAGAUAUGCAAGAUAUAUAUUACACUCAUGGAUUCACAGAAUUAAUAUUGUGUAGAUACCAAUUACCUCAAAAUUGAUGUACUAUAUUGUACCAACCAAAUCACAAUCACUUAGUAAUGUGUUGAGCUGAUUUUAGAGUUCAUAAGAGAAUUGAGAAGUCUAAGAAUAGCCAUGGCCUUCUGGAAGAACAAGGUGAGUAGUUGGUCUCCAGAUUAUAAAGAUAAAGGACUAUAACAGAGUUACUGGUGCAAGGACAGAAACAUUAGCAAAUGGAGCACAGCAGAAAGCCUGGACACUGGCCUGCAUAGAUAUUGAAGCUUUAGAUACAGCAGAUGUGGUAUUGUAGCCACAUGUGAUGAUGUGAACUGAUGGAUUUUUCCACGAAUGUCAUAGAACAAUUUGGUAUCCAUAUUGAACAAAAAAUGAAAUUAAAUCCUCCUACAGAGAAACCAAUUCCUGGUGGAUUAAGAACUAUAUGUGAAAGGUUUAAAAACACAGAUUUUAAAAACAAGAUAGAAAAAUAUUUAUAAACUCAGUGUAGAAAAGGGUUUUUUUUUCUUCUUAAAAAUAGUCUAAAACCCAUGACCCAACUAAGAUUGGUCAAUGUGACUGCAUUAAAAUUACGAAUUGUAUUCAUCAAAAGAAUCUCUAUAGCUUACAGAUGAAAUAAUACCCUGUGACUUGCUUCAGAACAAUUUAGUGGAGCCAGUGGAGAGGGAAAGGUGUAUAUCUGACUCAAAGGGAGCCUGAGAUGGUGGUCAUUGUGACGAGGCAAUGUUCAUAAUAGCAAAAACUGGAAAUAACCAAAAUGCCCAUGAAUAGUAGAAUAGACCAAAAAAAUGGCGUAUUCACACAAUGUAACCAUAGAGCAGUCAAAAUGAACCACAGUUAUGUGCAUCAGUAUGAGUGGUUCUCAUCUGGAGAACAAGAAACAAACCACAGGUAAUCUAUUCACUAAGAUUCAAAAACAGAGAAAACUAAAUGACAUUUGUUGAGAGAUUUAUACAUGGUUGGUAAAAUGAUGGUUACAACAUUGUAUGUAGUGGUUAUCUCAAAGAAGGCACAAAGAUAGAGACAAAGGGGCUUCUACAUUACUUACCAAAUUAUAUUUCUUUUCUUUUUUGAGACAAAGUCUCACUCUGCUGCCCAGGCUGAGCGCAGUGGUGC
rnacentral:lncRNA from 10 species